CUUUUUUGCACGUGGUGUGGCUGCCAUUUUGUGAUUGCAUGAGUUUCGGUUCAAGCUAAAAAAAUACACUCUAAAGCAUUGUAAACGUACUACAUCCGGUACCACAUAAGAGGUAUCUACUUUAGGAGCCUGUUAGCAACUGACUGUUUAUGUCCACCAUCGCUGACGUCCAGGGGUCCAGGUCAAUUCUCAUCUAACAUCCAUCACCUGAGGCAGAGCAUAUGAGAAAUAUAUGCCUUAGGAGAGGUGUCUUCGUGGAAGACAUUCUGAGACUAAUUGGCUGUUACUCAUACAUGAGGUGAAUGUUAUAGGACAAAGACCUUGUUGCUUCUCUGUUUUAUGAGGAUAGUUACAUGGAUUACUUUCUAAGGGAAAUUAUCUUGAAUUUGGACGAAGGAAACUGUAAAUGUUACAAUACAGCCAGAACAUUUUGCCUGUAACUAAGCCUGGGAUGCAGAUAUAAGCUUUCAACGAUUUAUCUACUCAUAAGGAAGGACUGGAUUAUUUAGAUCAUGGCAAAGCACACCAGAGCUGCCUGCCUAAGAGGAAGAAUACAUUCAUGAUGAAUUUCUAAGGGAAACUGGCUUGUACUCAUAUUACACAUGAGGAAAACUGCGAACAUCUCCAAGCAACUAGCCCAUCUGCUGAGAUCUGAACACGAGUCGAACUCAGCGAUUUUACCACUCGGCUGCUUGUGGGCGCUCAUAAGGAAAAUCCGGCAGCUUUGAACCCUCAGCAUUUUUAGAAACAAAAAUAUGUAUGACUCAAAUUUCAGCUUCAUUCAGAAAUAUGUACUGAUAAAAAUUAGCAGCUAUAUUGUAGGUGAUAAGCAAAUAAAAAAAUAUCUGUUAAUAA